UACAGAGGGGGCAAGCGUUGUUCGGAAUUACUGGGCGUAAAGGGCGCGUAGGCGGCCCGCUAAGUCGAACGUGAAAUCCCUGGGCUCAACCCAGGAACUGCGUCCGAUACUGGCGGGCUUGAAUCCGGGAGAGGGAUGUGGAAUUCCAGGUGUAGCGGUGAAAUGCGUAGAUAUCAAGAGGAACACCUGCGGCGAAGGCGGGUUGCUGGGCCGACACUGACGCUGAUGCGCGAAAGCUAGGGGAGCGAACGGG
rnacentral:rRNA from 1 species